UCAUCUCCGGGGGUAGAGCACUGUUUCGGCUAGGGGGCCAUCCCGGCUUACCAACCCGAUGCAAACUGCGAAUACCGGAGAAUGUUAUCACGGGAGACACACGGCGGGUGCUAACGUCCGUCGUGAAGAGGGAAACAACCCAGACCGCCAGCUAAGGUCCCAAAGUCAUGGUUAAGUGGGAAACGAUGUGGGAAGGCACAGACAGCCAGGAUGUUGGCUUAGAAGCAGCCAUCAUUUAAAGAAAGCGUAAUAGCUCACUGGUCGAGUCGGCCUGCGCGGAAGAUGUAACGGGGCUAAACCAUGCACCGAAGCUGCGGCAGCGACACUAUGUGUUGUUGGGUAGGGGAGCGUUCUGUAAGCCGUCGAAGGUGACCUGUGAGGGUUGCUGGAGGUAUCAGAAGUGCGAAUGCUGACAUAAGUAACGAUAAAGCGGGUGAAAAGCCCGCUCGCCGGAAGACCAAGGGUUCCUGUCCAACGUUAAUCGGGGCAGGGUGAGUCGACCCCUAAGGCGAGGCCGAAAGGCGUAGUCGAUGGGAAACAGGUUAAUAUUCCUGUACUCGGUGUUACUGCGAAGGGGGGACGGAGAAGGCUAUGUUGGCCGGGCGACGGUUGUCCCGGUUUAAGCAUGUAGGCGGAGGUUCCAGGUAAAUCCGGUACCUUAUUAACGCUGAGGUGUGAUGACGAGGCACUACGGUGCUGAAGCAACAAAUGCCCUGCUUCCAGGAAAAGCCUCUAAGCAUCAGGUAACAUCAAAUCGUACCCCAAACCGACACAGGUGGUCAGGUAGAGAAUACCAAGGCGCUUGAGAGAACUCGGGUGAAGGAACUAGGCAAAAUGGUGCCGUAACUUCGGGAGAAGGCACGCUGAUAUGUAGGUGAAGCCCCUGCGGGUGGAGCUGAAAUCAGUCGAAGAUACCAGCUGGCUGCAACUGUUUAUUAAAAACACAGCACUGUGCAAACACGAAAGUGGACGUAUACGGUGUGACGCCUGCCCGGUGCCGGAAGGUUAAUUGAUGGGGUUAGCGGCAACGCGAAGCUCUUGAUCGAAGCCCCGGUAAACGGCGGCCGUAACUAUAACGGUCCUAAGGUAGCGAAAUUCCUUGUCGGGUAAGUUCCGACCUGCACGAAUGGCGUAAUGAUGGCCAGGCUGUCUCCACCCGAGACUCAGUGAAAUUGAAAUCGCUGUGAAGAUGCAGUGUACCCGCGGCAAGACGGAAAGACCCCGUGAACCUUUACUAUAGCUUGACACUGAACACUGGUCCUUGAUGUGUAGGAUAGGUGGGAGGCUUUGAAGCGUGGACGCCAGUCUGCGUGGAGCCAUCCUUGAAAUACCACCCUUUAAUGGCUGGUGUUCUAACGUGGGCCCGUGAUCCGGGUUGCGGACAGUGUCUGGUGGGUAGUUUGACUGGGGCGGUCUCCUCCUAAAGAGUAACGGAGGAGCACGAAGGUUAGCUAAUCCUGGUCGGACAUCAGGAGGUUAGUGCAAUGGCAUAAGCUAGCUUGACUGCGAGAGUGACGGCUCGAGCAGGUGCGAAAGCAGGUCAUAGUGAUCCGGUGGUUCUGUAUGGAAGGGCCAUCGCUCAACGGAUAAAAGGUACUCCGGGGAUAACAGGCUGAUACCGCCCAAGAGUUCAUAUCGACGGCGGUGUUUGGCACCUCGAUGUCGGCUCAUCACAUCCUGGGGCUGAAGUAGGUCCCAAGGGUACGGCUGUUCGCCGUUUAAAGUGGUACGCGAGCUGGGUUUAGAACGUCGUGAGACAGUUCGGUCCCUAUCUGCCGUGGGCGCUGGAGAAUUGAGGGGGGCUGCUCCUAGUACGAGAGGACCGGAGUGGACGCAUCACUGGUGUUCGGGUUGUCAUGCCAAUGGCACUGCCCGGUAGCUAAAUGCGGAAAAGAUAAGUGCUGAAAGCAUCUAAGCACGAAACUUGCCCCGAGAUGAGUUCUCCCUGAGCCUUUAAGGCUCCUGAAGGAACGUUGAAGACGACGACGUUGAUAGGUCGGGUGUGUAAGCGCAGCGAUGCGUUGAGCUAACCGAUACUAAUGAACCGUGAGGCUUAACCUU
rnacentral:rRNA from 1 species